AGAAUCAACGCUGGCGGCGUGCCUAACACAUGCAAGUCGAACGAGAAAAUGGUAGCAAUACCAUGAGUAAAGUGGCGCACGGGUGAGUAACACGUGACUAACCUACCCUUGAGUGGGGGAUAACUGAGGGAAACCUUAGCUAAUACCGCAUAAUACCCACGGGUCAAAGGAGCAAUUCGCUCGAGGAGGGGGUCGCGGCCGAUUAGUUAGUUGGCGGGGUAAUGGCCCACCAAGACGAUGAUCGGUAUCCGGCCUGAGAGGGCGCACGGACACACUGGAACUGAAACACGGUCCAGACUCCUACGGGAGGCAGCAGUGGGAAUUUUGCGCAAUGGGGGAAACCCUGACGCAGCAACGCCGCGUGGAGGAUGAAGUCCUUCGGGACGUAAACUCCUUUCGAUCGGGACGAUUAUGACGGUACCGGAAGAAGAAGCCCCGGCUAACUUCGCGCCAGCAGCCGC
rnacentral:rRNA from 1 species